GAGUUUGAUCGUGGCUCAGAGCGAACGCUGGCGGCAGGCUUAACACAUGCAAGUCGAACGGGCACUUCGGUGCUAGUGGCAGACGGGUGAGUAACACGUGGGAACGUACCUUUCGGUUCGGAAUAAUUCAGGGGAAACUUGGACUAAUACCGGAUACGCCCUCCGGGGGAAAGAUUUAUCGCCGAUAGAUCGGCCCGCGUCUGAUUAGCUAGUUGGUGAGGUAAAGGCUCACCAAGGCGACGAUCAGUAGCUGGUCUGAGAGGAUGAUCAGCCACAUUGGGACUGAGACACGGCCCAAACUCCUACGGGAGGCAGCAGUGGGGAAUAUUGGACAAUGGGCGCAAGCCUGAUCCAGCCAUGCCGCGUGAGUGAUGAAGGCCUUAGGGUUGUAAACUGCUUUUGUCAGGGGAUAAAAUAACUGUGCGCAAGUUGAUUGAAGGUACCUGAUGAAUAAGCCACGGCUAACUACGUGCCAGCCGCCGCCGU
rnacentral:rRNA from 1 species